rnacentral:lncRNA from 1 species
GUCUCUCCUGGACUCUCUUGUCUUUGUGUCUGUCUCUGUUUCUCCCCCUCCCCUCUCCCCUUUCUAUCUUCCCUCCCCUUCCCCUCCUUCCCUUCCUUCCCCUCCUUCCCCUCCUUCCCCUCCUUCCCCUCCUUCCCUUCCUCCUCUUUCUUUCUUUCUUUCUUUCUUUCUUUCUUUCUUUCUUUCUUUCUUUCUUUCUUUCUUUCUUUCUUUCUUUCUUUCUUUCUUUCUUUCUUUCUUUCUUUCUUUCUUUCUUUCUUUCUUUCUUUCUUUCUUUCUUUCUUUCUUUCUUUCUUUUUCUUUCUUUCUUUCUUUCUUUCUUUCUUUCUUUCUUUCUUUCUUUCUUUCUUUCUUUCUUUCUUUCUUUUUCUUCCUUCCUUCCUUCCUUCCUUCCUUCCUUUCUUUCUUUCUUUCUUUCUUUCUUUCUUUCUUUCUUUCUUUCUUCCUUCCUUCCUUUCUUCCUUCCUUUCUUUCUUCCUUUCUCCCUUUCUCCCUUUCUUCUUUUCUUCCUUUCUUCCUUUCUUCCUUUCUCUCUUUCUUUCUUCCCUUUCUCUCUUUCUUUCUUUCUCUAGAUUCUAGGCUUUGGGAACAGGAGAGCAAAGAAGACAGGAGAUAGAAUGUCAUGUGUAAAAAUGAUAAGAAGGCAUUUGAACUGGACUAUAGAUGUGAGAAAGAGUUUAACAUUUUACAUGACAAGAAAACUAGGUUAGGGACAGGUUGUGAAGGGUUUUAUUUUGUGCAUUUUGUAUUUCAAUUUUUAAAUUUUAAUAAUAAAUUUUCACCUAUG